UGAGCUAUGAUGGGAACUCCUGAACCUGUGUCCUCUUGGAUGCUAGUCGGGUUCACUAACCGCUAAGCCACAACGGGAACUCCAUUUUCCUUUAUUUUCUGAAUGCAGGUGGAAGUCUUGUAUGAAAAUGGAAGCACUUUUAGGGGGGUGAAUGCUUUUAGAGACGUAUUGGUGCAAAAUACUUUUUUCCAAAAAAGCAUAAAAACCUAUUCAUUUGCGGUGUUUCCCUUCCAUGCCAGGAAUUGUACUAGACACACAGACUGUUAACAAUAUGAAUGGUAGCAAGUCCUUAUUUGGCACUUUGGUGCUUUUCGUAAGCCAGGCUCUCUUUUCAGUAUGUUGUAUGACUGACCUGCUUAAUCCUCAUCAGAGCUUUGUGACUGGGUAUAUUUCACCGUAUAGAUGAGGAGACAGAGGCAUGGAAAUUAAGGUCCCUGCUUCAAGGUCUCACAGCCAUGACAUGGUAGAGCAGGAUUCUGCUCUGAGGCCAUCCUUAGUGACCUCUCUGUCUGGGGAGUCUGAAAAGAGGGCACAUAGGCAAAGAGAUAAGUAUGGUCAAGUGGGAUAAGGGAGGCGGCUGGGGCAGUGAACUUCAAGAGUGUGCAUAGACAUGGGACCCAGUCCCACCGGGAGAAUGAGAAGCAAUAGUGCUUGCUUUGACCUUUGAAGAAGGAGGGAGGGAGUCAGGAAAGGCAGGGGAAACAGAGCUGCACAGGGGAAAGGGCACGUGCAAAGCCAUACACACGAGCGAGAGUUUGGCCCGCUCCUGGAACUGCUAGAUAAUUGUUAAGUCUGCCAGCCUACACCACAGCCACAGCAACACAGGAUCUGAGCUGCACCUGCAACCUACACCACAGCUCACGGCAACACCGGAUCCUUAACCCACUGAGCAAGGCCAGGGAUCGAACCCGCAACCUCAUGGUUCCUAGUCAGAUUCAUUAACCACUGAGCCACGACAGGAACUCCAAGGGAUUCAUAUUUAGGACAAGAUCUUUGAAGUCACAUUCCUUCUCAUUCCUUCUUUCCUUUUGCUGCCAGUUUUUGGAAGUACUUUGAGCGGGCCAAACCAUGGUGCUUCUGCCUUAGUGGCAGAAAAGCAGUCAGUGACACCAAGAUGGUUAUUAUGUGAAGUUUAAAAUAUCCGUGGAGAAAAAGAGGGGGAAUACCACUCUUAUCAGGAAAAUCAGUGACAAUUGCAAAGAUCUGGCAUGUAAAUGAGAUUCAAGAAAUAACAAGGUAAAUUCCAUUGAGCACCCCCCAACCAUGCCUCUUAUAGCCUGUGCACUGGAUGAUUAUGAAAACAUCUGAGUCUUUUUUAAACUCAUUGUUUCACUUCCUGAAAAAUACUUACUGCACUCACAUUCACUAUGUAUCUGUAUUACUUACUUGCUAGAAGAUAACUAUACAUCUGUAAUAAAUACAGUAUCACUGACAAUGCACAUAUACCCAGAACUGUACACCUGUAACUAACAGAGUGUGGUUGACAGUGCACAAUGUCCAAUAUGUGACAAUGCAUAUACAGCUACACUCCAAGAUAACCAAAAGCCUGCAACAAAUACAGUUAUCACUGGCAGCGCAUAUACACAUAUGAGAAAACAUAUAAAAACUAAUUUUGAAACACUGUCAUAAGGGCAAUAAAUAAAAUAAUCUGUAUUUAUUGAGCACUUAUUAUAUGUUUGGUCCUGUGCUAAAAACUUAACAUGGAUGAUUUCAUCCACUCUUCACAAUAAAAAGUUCUGAGAUAGAUACCAUUACUGUAUUUACUUUGCGGAUGGGAAAACUAAGGCUCAGAGGAGCAGAGCUUGUCCAAGAUCACACAACUAGUGAAAGGUGGUAUUGGGAUGAGAUCCUAGCUCUGUCUAAUUCCAGAUCCCAUUCUUAUCAGCAGGAUGCUGUUCCCCUUACCAUGUGAUUUGAAGUAGUAAGCCACAUAUUAUGGGGACCCCUGGAGGGAGCCUCUGAUUAGGGCUGUGAAGCAAAGAGUAGCAGAAAAAACUCUGAAUUACUUUUUUAUUCCAUUUUAUUUCUUCUAUGACUAUUAUUUAUACCUCUUUUUUUUUUAAAGUCAUUGCUAUUCCAUUAAGCAUAUGAGACUUAAAUUCACCAGAAUCUACCUUCAAAUAGUAUUAUGCCAUUGCUCAUGUAGUGUAAGGAAUUUCAACAGUGGCAUCCUCAGUCUUAUUGUUACAUGCUUUAUUUUUACAUAUGCUAAAAACACAUGAUACAUUGUUAAUAUUUUUAGGUAAUGAAUUAAAUUUUUACUGAAUGCUUACUGUGUAUCAGCUUAUAGUCUCUUGGUUUAAAUGGUCUCCUUUUUUUUGGCCUCGCCCAUGGCAUGUGGAAAUUCCCAGGCCAAGGAUUGAACCUGGGCCACAGCAGGGACCCAAGCCCCAGCACUGACAAUGCCAGAUCCUUAACCUGCUGAGCCAAAGAGAACUUAAGUAUGGUUACUAUUUUUGCUUUAGAGCAAAAUUGUUCUUUUAGGACAAUUUAAAAUAAGAAAGCAUUAUUUAUUGUCACUUAUGUCAUUUUGGAUGCUCUAUUUCUUUGUGUAGAUCCAAAUUUCCAACCUAUAUCAUAUUUCUUCUGCUUGAACUUCCUUAAAAGUUAGUUCUUAUAGUGUAGGUCUAUUGGCAAUGAUUUUUUUUUCAGUUUUGUUUGCCUGAGAGAGUAUUUCUCUUUCAUUUUUGAAAGAUAUUUUUACUGGGUAUAGAAUUCUGUGUUGACAGUUCCUGCCCACAUGACCCCCCCUCCCAAGCACUUAAAAAAUGUCACUCCAUCAUCUUCUGGCUUACAGAAAGUCUUCUGUAGUUUUUCUUUUGUUCUCUGUGUAAUGUGUCUUUUUAGGGGGCUGCCUCCAAGAUUUUCUCUCUUUUAUUCUUAGCAAUGUGAUUAUGAUAUGUCUAGUUUUGUAUAGGGAUUAUUGUUGUUAUUUGUUUAUUCAGUUUCUUGUUUGGGUUAUUUAUCCUCCUUGGUGUUAUAUAAUCUUCUUGAAUCUGUGGCUUGAUGUCUGUCAUUAUUUUGGAAAUUUCUUGCCCAUUGUAUCUUCAAACACUUCUUUGUUCUGCCCUUUUUCUGAGGUUCAAAAUGCAAAUAAUGUUAGCCUGAUAUUGUUAUUUAUCUCUUGGAUACUCAUAAUGUUUUCUUUUUUGAAUUCACACAGUUUAGGUCAUUUUUACUGACCUAUACUCAAGUUCAUUGAUUCUCUCCUUGACUGUAUUAGUGGGAUGAGCCUGCUGAAAGCAUUCUGUAUCUCUUUUACUGUGUUUUCCAUUUCUGUCAUUUCCAUUUGAGUCUUUUAUACUUUCCAUCUCCCUGCUGAAAAUUUCCAUCUAAUCUUUCACAUUGCAUACCUUUUCCAUUACAGCCUUUAACAUAUUAAUCAGUUAUUUUAAUUUCCCAGUCAGGUAGUUCCAACGUAUGUUUCAUAUCUGAGUCUGGUUCUAAUUGUUGCUUAUUCGUUUUGGAAUCUAUCUUUUCUUGCCUUUUCAUAUGUCUUAUUUUGUGUUGGAAGCUAGACAUCUGUGGAGAACAUAGAGAAUAAAAUAAAUAGCUUUUAUGUCUGGAGCUGAGCAUGCCUUUCUUCUGCUGGAUUUUUAAUGCAGGAUUUUUUUUUUUUUUUCUUUUUAGGGCCACACCUACAGCAUAUGGAAGUUCACAGGGUAAGGGUUGAAUCAGAGCUGCUGGGCUAUGCCAAAACCACAGAAACACUGUAUCUGAGCUGCAUCUGCAACCUAGGCCACAGCUGACAGCAAUGCUGGAUCCUUAACCCACUGAGUGAGGCCAGGAAUCGAAUCCACAUCCUCACAGACACAAAGUUGAGUUCUUAACCCACUAAGCCACAUGGAAACUCCUUAAUGCAGGGUUUGAAUUAACAAAGUUUGAGAAUGGGCCAGGUUGGGGAUUUGUGGUUUCCAUGGUUACCCUCAGGGCACCAUAGACUUCACAACUCCUGAAGGAUACCUGUGUUUAGGUUGGGGGUUGGUUUCCAGAGCAGCAUCUGCUCACUGCUCAGCUGUAUGUCCAUGCUACUCUGGCAUGGCUCUUCGCAUGCUCCUUUGCCUUUCCUGUCGCUCACCCAUUAACAUCUACUUACUUUUUACUUGAAACUUGUUAGCUUGAUGGCAGGGGGAUGGGGUGCAUGGGGAGGACAUUCUCUUUUUUCUACUUAAACUCAGUCUUAGGCUUUCACCCAGUCCCUUGCUCUCAGGGCUGUGUCCUUCUCAUGUCUCCUGUCCCUCCUCCAGCUGCGGUUGGGUCCAGCAGGCACUCCGGCCCCUUCUUCAGGAGGGGAGAUCUUUGUUGCUGUAGUGUUGGUCCAUUCCCCCAGGAGCAGUGACUUUUCACCAAUGCCCUGAAGCCAGCAGUGUCUGCUGACCUUUCUUCCACAGACUAGACUCUGUGUCCCAUGAGAGGGGUUGGGGGAAAGGGUCUAGCAGAUCUUCAUGUCCCUCCACGUGUCUGCUGCUUCCUUCCUUGGGGUCUGUACUGAAUCAGACACAUCCUUAGGAUUCCCUCCAUCUUUGCUGUGAGCACCCACUGGAGUGCAUGGAGACUGCCAUGUCUGUCUUCCCCAGGGGCUCCCUCGUGUCCCACCAACCUACACCUGACUGUCACCAGUUCAUCAUCUCUUUUGGACAAACUCUUCCUACCAGCUUCUGAUCAUGUCUAUGCCAGGGGAUCGAGUACUUCUUAUAUCUUCUCUCCCCAAAGGUGCUUGUCUGCCCUUAGACUGUGGGCUAGCUGGCUUCUCUAUAGCCCAGUUCUCCAAUAGGUUAAAAAAAAAA
rnacentral:lncRNA from 1 species